AUUUGCAUAAUUUGGAUGUCCAGCACAGUCCAUAAGUUUUUAGACAGGCUCAUACUGUAUCACAUUGUAUUUGAAUUAAGUAAGAACAUCAUGUGGAGACUGCCACACAUGUUGGCUUUAUUUUAGAGUAUUUGGAUCUAUAAACCAUCAUUCAGGUAGAAAUGACAGCCCAUUGUAAACACAGGGAAUCAGACGUAAUUGGACAAAUUGACAAAUUUAAACAAAAUCAG